UAUUCCUCUUUUUCUAAUAAAUUUUUUUUAAAGGUAAUUUUAAAUCUAACUAUCUAAAAUUUUAAAAUAUAACAGCGGUCCUGAAGAAAUCUAAAAUAUCACUCUUUUUUUUUUCUAAACUUCUAAAACAAUCAGUAAUAUCACUCUAAACCCCAAAUCAUAAGCCCUUCAAUAUAUAUAUAUAUAUAUAGGUUUGAGCUAGAAUAUUAUUGAUAGGAAACCGUCAUUUUUGCUAUCAAGUUUUGUUAAAAUUUAGUUGAUUUGAACUCUUCUAUACCGUUAAACGAGCAAACACACCAUAUCGGCCUUUAAAAUUAUAGAUUUUGUGACCCUUUGAUCGUUCAAUUAGUGAUGCCAAAAAAUCUUGAAAUUUGAUUUCUAGAUAAUUUAAAUAGUUUAGAUCAUAUUCAACGGUGCCGAUUGUCGACUUGGAAGCUCUAUCAUAAAAAAUAAAUCGGUAGUAAACCGAGCAGUUUACUACCGAUAGUAAUCCAGUCAAACUCUAUAUAUAUAAGGGCGCAAAUAAUAAUUUCUAAUUUUGAACUGCAUCUAUAACAUUACACUCUUUUCC
rnacentral:lncRNA from 1 species